rnacentral:rRNA from 2 species
UAACUAAAGAGGAAGCCACGGCUAACUACGUGCCAGCAGCCGCGGUAAUACGUAGGUGGCAAGCGUUGUCCGAAAUUACUGGGUGUAAAGGGAGCGUAGGCGGGUAUAAAGUUGGCUGUAUAAACUAUGGGCUCAACCCAUAGAGGCAAACAAAACUGUAUAUCUUGAGUAAAGUAGAGGCAGAUGGAAUUCCUAGUGGAGCGGUGGAAUGCGUAGAGAUUAGGAGGAACACCAGUGGCGAAGGCGGUCUGCUGGGCUUUAACUGACGCUGAUGCUCGAAAGCGUGGGGAGCAAACAGGAUUAGAUACCCUGGUAGUCCACGCCGUAAACGAUGAUUACUAGGUGUGGGGAGACUGACCCUUUCCGUGCCGGAGUUAACACAAUAAGUAAUCCACCUGGGGAGUACGGUCGCAAGGCUGAAACU